UUGCUUCAUGAAACUGUGUAUUCUGUGACUUUGGUAAGAUUUAUUUCGUUGCGCGGAAUAGGAACCCUUGCCGAUCCUUGCAAUGGCAGCCGGAGCAACGUUGCAGAAGGCCAUCGACAUCGUGACUCAGGCUACGGAAGAGGACAGGAAUAAAAAUUAUGAGGAAGCCCUGCGGUUGUACGAGCAUGGCGUUGAGUACUUUCUGCAUGCAAUCAAAUAUGAAGCGCAGGGUGACAAAGCGAAGGACUCGAUACGAGCCAAAUGCUUCCAGUACCUGGAUCGGGCGGAAAAGUUGAAGGCGUACUUGAAAAAGGGCAAGAAGAAACCGGUAAAGGAUGGCGACGGACGGGCCGCGAAGGACGACAAGAAGAACGGCGGCUCCGAUUCGGAUUCCGACGAUGCGGAAAAGAAGAAUCUGCAGAGCAAGCUGGAAGGUUCAAUCGUGGUCGAAAAGCCGAAUGUGAAGUGGUCCGACGUAGCCGGCCUCGAGGGAGCAAAAACGGCUCUCAAGGAGGCAGUCAUUUUGCCGAUUAAAUUCCCGCAUAUGUUCACCGGGAAACGUAUGCCCUGGAAGGGAAUACUGCUGUUUGGCCCACCCGGAACGGGUAAAUCGUACCUAGCGAAAGCGGUCGCAACCGAGGCAAACAACUCGACUUUCUUCUCCGUCUCGAGCUCCGACCUGGUCUCGAAGUGGCUCGGUGAAUCGGAGAAGCUUGUGAAAAACCUAUUCGAGCUGGCCCGUAGCCACCGGCCGAGCAUCAUCUUCAUCGACGAAGUAGAUUCACUGUGCUCCGCCCGGUCGGACAACGAGAGCGAAAGUGCACGACGCAUUAAAACACAGUUUCUGGUGCAGAUGCAAGGCGUGGGCAGCGACAAUGAGGACAUACUGGUACUAGGAGCCACCAAUACGCCUUGGAUUCUUGAUUCCGCCAUACGGCGCCGCUUCGAGAAACGUAUUUACAUCCCGCUGCCAGAUGAACCUGCCCGGCUCAUGAUGUUUAAGCUUCAUCUUGGCAGUACGGCCCACACAUUGACGGAGGAAAACUUGCGGUCACUGGCGGCCAAAACGGAGAGAUUCUCUGGUUCGGACAUUUCGAUUGUUGUACGAGAGGCACUCUUUAUACCGGUCCGGAAGGUACAGACAGCAACACAUUUUAAGCAAGUAACGGGCCCGUCGCCGGUGGACAAGACAACAAUUUGCAACGAUUUACUGGUACCGUGUAGCCCUGGCGAUCCCGGUGCGAUCGAGAUGACGUGGGUCGAUGUUCCGGGCGACAAACUGUACGAGCCCGCCGUAACGAUGGCCGACAUGCUGAAAUCUGUAACCAACACAAAGCCCACUGUAAACGAGGACGACAUGAAGAAGCUCGAUAAAUUCACCCAAGACUUUGGGCAGGAAGGCUAGGCGAGAGAGGGCGAACUGCAUUCCCGUUACACAUUACCAGCCGGAGCAACGGAGUUACUUCUAUCUACUACUGACGGUCAGACGGUUUAGAGGGCGCAAAUGGGAAACCGGUCUCCUUAUGCUGCAUCGACCGCACCGCGACGCGGGAACCGUACCGUAAACAAUUUAAAACAUAUUGCUACGAGGGACUUCGCCAGGAAGUCCAUGCCUCAGCAGUAGGGAUACCAGAAUGCCAUAUCCAC